UACAGAGGUCCUGAGCGUUGUUCGGAUUUACUGGGCGUAAAGGGCGCGUAGGCGGCCUGUUAAGUCGAACGUGAAAUCCCCGGGCUCAACCCGGGAACUGCGUCCGAUACUGGCAGGCUUGAAUCCGGGAGAGGGAUGUGGAAUUCCAGGUGUAGCGGUGAAAUGCGUAGAUAUCUGGAGGAACACCGGUGGCGAAGGCGGCAUCCUGGACCGGUAUUGACGCUGAGGCGCGAAAGCCAGGGGAGCAAACGGG
rnacentral:rRNA from 1 species